rnacentral:rRNA from 1 species
GCUCUUUCCGGAUGAGUUGCGAACGGGUGGGUAACGCGUAGGUAACCUGCCUGGUAGCGGGGGAUAACUAUUGGAAACGAUAGCUAAUACCGCAUAACAGUAGAUGUUGCAUGACAUCUGCUUGAAAGGGGCAAUUGCUCCACUACCAGAUGGACCUGCGUUGUAUUAGCUAGUUGGUGAGGUAACGGCUCACCAAGGCGACGAUACAUAGCCGACCUGAGAGGGUGAUCGGCCACACUGGGACUGAGACACGGCCCAGACUCCUACGGGAGGCAGCAGUAGGGAAUCUUCGGCAAUGGACGGAAGUCUGACCGAGCAACGCCGCGUGAGUGAAGAAGGUUUUCGGAUCGUAAAGCUCUGUUGUAAGAGAAGAACGAGUGUGAGAGUGGAAAGUUCACACUGUGACGGUAUCUUACCAGAAAGGGACGGCUAACUACGUGCCAGCAGCCGCGGUAAUACGUAGGUCCCGAGCGUUAUCCGGAUUUAUUGAGCGUAAAGCGAGCGCAGGCGGUUAGAUAAGUCUGAAGUUAAAGGCUGUGGCUUAACCAUAGUACGCUUUGGAAACUGUUUAACUUGAGUGCAAGAGGGGAGAGUGGAAUUCCAUGUGUAGCGGUGAAAUGCGUAGAUAUAUGGAGGAACACCGGUGGCGAA